UACGAAGGGGGCUAGCGUUGUUCGGAAUUACUGGGCGUAAAGCGCGUGUAGGCGGGUCUUUAAGUCAGGGGUGAAAUGCCAAGGCUCAACCUUGGAACUGCCUUUGAUACUGGAGAUCUUGAGUCCGGGAGAGGUGAGUGGAAUUGCGAGUGUAGAGGUGAAAUUCGUAGAUAUUCGCAAGAACACCAGUGGCGAAGGCGGCUCACUGGCCCGGGAACUGACGCUGAGGCGCGAAA
rnacentral:rRNA from 1 species